rnacentral:misc_RNA from 1 species
AACACUGUUAACCUGCGGUACCUGCGGAGGGAUCAUUAUAGUAUAUGGAAUCUCCAUUCUAUAAACCCACUCUGCGUAUCUUGUAACUGUUGCUUCCAUAGGACUUGGUUCCGCCACACCGGCUUCACGGCUGGUGAGCGCCCAUGGAAGGAGAAACAAAACUCUUCUUUGAAAUGUAGUCAGUCUGAACAAGUUUUUAUAAACGUUAAAACUUUCAACAAUGGAUCUCAGAUCGGAAGA